AAUCAACGCUGGCGGCGUGCCUAACACAUGCAAGUCGAACGCGAAAGUGGAGCAAUCCAUGAGUAGAGUGGCAAACGGGUGAGUAACGCGUGGGCGACCUACCUUCGAGUGGGGGAUAACCUUCCGAAAGGAGGGCUAAUACCGCAUGACAUCCCGUGUUUGGAUACACGGACAUCAAAGCCGGGGAUCGCAAGACCUGGCGCUUGGAGAGGGGCCCGCGUCCGAUUAGCAGUUGGUGAGGUAACGGCUCACCAAGGCUCCGAUCGGUAUCCGGCCCGAGAGGGCGGACGGACACACUGGAACUGAGACACGGUCCAGACUCCUACGGGAGGCAGCAGUGGGGAAUUGUUCGCAAUGGGCGCAAGCCUGACGACGCAACGCCGCGUGGAGGAUGAAGACCUCGGUC
rnacentral:rRNA from 1 species